UAGAUUGCUUUUACGAAAACAAUCUCUCUUUAUGAACUUUACCAAACAUGACCAAAGCAUUUCACGAAGCCAUUAACCAGUUUGAAGUCAUUUUAAUCCCAAAUCACUGAUUAUUAAUUUUUCUACCUUCAAAUCCUCAAACAAUUUCAGGCCUAUCCCAAAAAAGAAAAAAGUUUGUUAGGGACGACGACAUCAUCCCGUGAUGCUUUUUAAAAAACCAUAGUGAAAUGAUGAGUCAACUUCGACAAGUUAGCGAUUAAUUCGAACAAAGGCGGUGCGUUUAGACAAAGCACAGAAAACACCCAGAAUUUCUCAGUUCCUUGGGCGUCCUCGCAAUCAAACUUUGUUCAAGAAUCCCGUAGGAUCGAUCGGAUAUAUUUUCUAUAUCGACCGCCGAAAUGGGAAGCUCAAAGACUGGGGCUACUGAUUCCUCCGCCACCGAGUCCGACAUCACCAAGACCGAGACCGACAUGGAAAUUGACGGCGACGACGGCGAUUGCCCUCCUGACACUGAUUCCUGCCCCUUCUCAGAAGGAGAAAAGGUCCUUGCUUUCCAUAGCGUCCGCAUAUACGAAGCCAAGGUGACAAAGAUUGAAUACCAGAUGGAGUGGAGGUUUUUUGUUCAUUAUUCUGGAUGGAGCAAAAAAUGGGAUGAAUGGGUAGGUGUGGAUCGCCUGAUGAAGUUUACUGAGGAAAAUGUGCAGAAACAGCAGGCCCUCAAUAAGAAGCAAUCAUUUGAGAAGAAUACACGUGCAUCACUGAUUAAACCAAAAAGUUCCCACAUGGCAAGAGCCAAGAAGCGAAAGACUGACCUUGUUAGUAAGGAGGAUGGCAAUUUACUCUUGGACAGGCUGGUGAACAUUCAACUCCCACCUCCGCUAAAGAAACAAUUGGUUGACGAUUGUGAAUUUAUUACUCAUUUAGGCAAGCUUGUUAAACUUCCACGUACCCCAAAUGUUGAUGACAUAUUGAGGAAGUAUCUGGAUUAUAGGAUGAAGAAGGAUGGCUUAAUAGCUGAUUCUGUUGGAGAAGUUCUGAAAGGAUUACGUUGUUACUUCGACAAAGUAUUGCCAGUGAUGCUUCUAUACAAAAGUGAGCGUCAGCAAUAUGAUGAAGCAAUUUCAGAUGAUGUCUCUCCUUCAACUGUAUAUGGUGCUGAACAUCUUUUACGCCUUUUCGUUAAGUUGCCCGAGUUAUUGUACCAUGCCAACAUUGAAGAGGAGACAUUGAUGGAACUGCAGCAGAAAUUAAUUGACUUUCUCAAGUUUUUACAGAAGCAUCAGAGUACAUUUUUCCUCUCUACGUACCACGUACCAGAAGAUAUUGAAAUGAGCACCAACAAAUAAGAUGGGUUGGUUGUAAGUUUUCGGCAACAAACAUUGUACAUGGUACAUUAGUAAUACAGUUUUAGGAAAUGCCCAUCUGAAACAAGUUUUUGAAUCAGUUCAAGGGUGAGUUGCUUGGGGGAGACACCUUAGCCAGCAGUACUAAAGGAAUUCAGUUGACACAGGUAGAAGGUUGGAGCAAGAUCUUGGCUUGAAGAUGCACUUUCACUCCAAUUUCUAGUGAAACAUAGCGGAUACCAAAUGUUGGAGUGUCUAUAAGCUGAGAAAGGGAACCAUUGCUUUCAUAACCUACUUCUCAAAAUGUUAUGGUAUUGCUUUCAUAUGAUGGGAGUCAUUGCUUCAAAUUAGAGUAUUGCAUUUAUUGGUUCAAAUUUUAAUAGUAGGUAGAAUUUAUUAGAUGCCAUUGACUAGAUUCUAGUAAGUUCAACUUUUCUACUAA